GAUGAACGCUGGCGGCGUGCCUAAUACAUGCAAGUCGAGCGAACAGACGAUGAGCUUGCUCCUCUGACGUUAGCGGCGGACGGGUGAGUAACACGUGGAUAACCUACCUAUAAGACUGGGAUAACUUCGGGAAACCGGAGUUAAUACCGGAUAAUCUAUUGAACCGCAUGUUUCAAUAGUGAAAGACGGUUUUGCUUUCACUUAUAGAUGGAUCCUCGCCGCAUUAGCUAGUUGGUAAGGUAACGGCUUACCAAGGCAACGAUGCGUAGCCGAACUGAGAGGGUGAUCGGCGACGAUGAAACAGAGACACGGUACAAACUCCUAAGGGAGGCAGAAGUAGGGAUUCUUCCGCAAUGGGCGAAAGCCUGACGGAGCAACGCCGCGUGAGUGAUGAAGGUCAUCGAGUCGUAAAACUCUGUUAUUAGGGAAAAACAAAUGUAUAAGUAACUAUGCAAGUCUUGAAGGUACCUAGUCAGAAAGCCACGGAUAACUACGAG
rnacentral:rRNA from 1 species